rnacentral:rRNA from 1 species
CGGAAUGAGUAGCGCGAAUGCAGUGAGAAUCUGCAUGGCCGAAAGCCUCAGGUUUCUGGAGGAAGGUUCGUCCGCUCCAGGUUAGUCGGGAGCUAAGGUGAGGCCGGAAGGCGUAGCCGAUGCACAGACGGUAGAGAUUCCGUCACCACCAAAAGAGUUAAGCACAGGGACACAUUUGAAGUCUCAGAGCCGGGUGUUGGUUCCGGUAGAGAUCGAGGGAAAUUAGUACCGAAGUCUGAGAUGGAAGAUGGCGAGAAAAGCUGUGUGUAUUUCUGAGGUGCCCGUACCGCAAACCGACACAGGUAGGUAGGAAGAAGAUUCUAAGGCCAACGGGAGAAGGGUUGUUAAGGAACUCGGCAAAUUGACCCCGUAACUUCGGGAGAAGGGGUGCUCCAGAGAUGGAGCCGCAGAGAAUCGGCCCAAGCAACUGUUUACCAAAAACACAGGUUUGUGCUAAAUCGAAAGAUGACGUAUACGAGCUGACGCCUGCCCGGUGCUGGAAGGUUAAGAGGAGAUGUGCAAGCAUUGAAUCGAAGCCCCAGUGAACGGCGGCCGUAACUAUAACGGUCCUAAGGUAGCGAAAUUCCUUGUCAGGUAAGUUCUGACCCGCAUGAAAGGCGUAAUGAUUUGGGCACUGUCUCAACAGCCCGCCCGGCGAAAUUGUAGUACCGGUGAAGAUGCCGGUUACCCGCGACAAGACGGAAAGACCCCAUGGAGCUUUACUGUAGCCUAAUAUUGGGUUUCGAUGUUGCAUGCACAGGAUAGAUGGGACACUGGGAAACAAUCGCUUUGGCGGUUGCGGAGUGGCCGUUGGGAUACCAUCCUUGCGAUAUUGGAAUUCUAACCUGCGGCUCUGAAUCGAGUCGGGGGACAUUGUUAGGUGGGCAGUUUGACUGGGGCGGUCGCCUCCUAAAAAGUAACGGAGGCGUUCAAAGGUUCGCUCAGCUUGAACGGAAAUCAAGCAAAAGAGUGCAAACGCAGAAGCGAGCCUAACUGCGAGACUGACGGGUCGAGCAGUAACGAAAGUUGGAGUUAGUGAUCCGGUGGUAUGUGAGUGGAAAUGCCAUCGCUCAACGGAUAAAA